rnacentral:lncRNA from 1 species
AUUUUUAAUAUUUUAUUAAUUAUUAAAGAAUAUUGAAUUAAUUGAAAUAUAAAAUCGCCAGAUCAUUUAUCAAGAGCGGAAUGCUUGUGAAGUCAUUGCAAUAUGACGUCCUCACAAUGCGACGUCAUCUUUUCAUUACCUCAUGAUGAUAGCGGGGGAUAUUGUGACUAUAUACAGAAUUCAAACGAAAUCAUUGUCAUAUAAUUUAUUAAUUAGGGCAUUUGGAAUCCGUUGGUUGUUUGAAUGCAAUUUCGAUGUAUAUUUAACUAGAAUAUUAAAGAAUAACAACAUGACAUCAUUAUCGCGGAGGCAUAACACCAUCGUGUCAUCACACAGGGUUAUAUCUGUGUAACAUCAUAAACCGAAAGUCUUAUAACAUCACCCAUUGUUACGUCACAACGUGAUGAUGUUAUCUUGGACUAAUAAAAUUACAUUUAGUCAAAAACAUAGACUCUACAUAUUUCCAUCCGUUGACUAAAUCGUUAGUUUAU